CGGGCGGACGGGUGAGUAACGCGUGGGUAACCUGCCUCAUACAGGGGGAUAACGGUUAGAAAUGACUGCUAAUACCGCAUAAGCGCACAGUACCGCAUGGUACGGUGUGAAAAACUCCGGUGGUAUGAGAUGGACCCGCGUCUGAUUAGCUAGUUGGUGGGGUAACGGCCCACCAAGGCGACGAUCAGUAGCCGACCUGAGAGGGUGACCGGCCACAUUGGGACUGAGACACGGCCCAG
rnacentral:rRNA from 1 species